CGUCAUGCAGUCUAAAUCUUUGCUAUACUUGUUUGUACAUGAAAAUUAUUCACACAGAUGCGAAGAGCUGCCCUCCUGGGCAUCUGAACCAUUUGCACCAUUAAACUUCAGACUCAAAUGCUGCUUGAGAAAGCUGCUGGAGAAGAAAAACGAGCUCCUGAAUCAAGCAGAAUUAUAGCAAUGGGUGGGAGUUUGGAUCAGACUCUCUUCACUUGACAGCUCAUUCUGGAUCCAGUGAGUCUAUGAAGUAAGUAAGUAGCACUUGUCCACGGCUACAAACUGGGAAGGCAGAGAAGGAAAGGAAUGGCGGGGAAUGACAAAGCAAAAGCUUGCAGUCGGUUCUUUUCAGCAUUCUGCAUGUGUUUACUUCUGCUCUCACCCCACCCCCUUCAGGCUUCAGCCUUCCGCUUGGCUCCCCUCCAGAGCACCCAUCACUUGCACACUCCUCACUUAAAGAAAAAAAUCAGUCUGUACUGCAAGGCGGGGGUGAGGGGGACCCUUAAAAUGCCCUCAAAGGGAUUAGCUCCAGCAUAAUCAAAAAUAUGUGAUCAGGGAGUGUCAAUAAUAAAAUUUGAGUGAAAACAUCUUUAUUUUAAAAAUUGUAUGUACAUCAAUGCCACAUUAAUGCCAACUCAAGCAUGAAAUGUUGAGCAUUUCUUGGAAUAUGGUUUGGGAUUUGAGAGGCACACAGCUACCUGCAAGAUGAUGGCUUUGGUGUAGUUAUAAAUAUAAAUAGAAGUAAAAUAACAGUUGCAUCUUCAUUUGUAAUGAGUAUAUUACUGUGGCCUCAAAGCUACAAAGGAGAGAGGAUGCCAAGGUCUGUCUUUCAUUAACAUAUGCCUUAAAUGACAGAGAAGAGGUGUUAAGACAAAAUUACUUUUUCCUCUGAGUAUGAAUCAGCAACAUGCAGUAACAAGCAAGUAAUAAUAGUUCUUCGUGUGAAUGCCUACAGAGGGCAAGAAAAACAGCAUCAAAUGCAAGUUCACCUGCACAAGAGGCCCAGGAGGCUUAGCCUACAGUGCCCUUGAGCACCAUCCUGAAGUGUUUCAGGGCACAGUGGCCCCAACCCUGGUGGCAAGCCAGGUUGGCACGAGCUGCAUGGACCACAUUCAAACCUCCAGAUGGUCAAAGACAGCCCACCCUCAGCUGCUCUCACAGCUCAUCAAAAGCAAGCUACGAGGCACCACCACUGUUCAAGAGUUUAAAACAGCUGCUUUGGAUUCUGCAGUGCAUGUGGUUUCACAGCCACUUAACCUUUAGUGAGGAACAGCUAGAGGCAGGCGAAUGGAUAAAUACAUGUUAACAUUACAUAAGGAGGAAAAAAAUCAAUACUAUUUAGAAGCACAUGGAAUUCAAAUAGUCACAGAUAGUGUUUAGUUAGCUGUGUCCUUGGCAUCCCAGUGAUUUGCAUCUUUCUCUUUGAUUUUCUCCAGUAGGUAGGCACCAAGCAGAGCCUGAACUCCAUCCAGAAAGUAGAAGCUUUCCUCUGAGUAUGAAUCAGGUGUUACCUACCAAAUUAAGUGAGCUAUUGAUUGCCUCCUAAAAAGCCCCAAACAUCUCUCCUAUUUGGACUGAUGGGGUUUAGUCCAGGAAAACCAAAUUGUGUUUUCCUCAUGCAAAUUCUUUGGGAAUGUUUUCAAACCAUUUCUUCUUUAUGAAACUUCCUAAUUCACUGCAGAAAAAGCAGAAUUUUUUUUUUUUUUGGUUAAUCUCUAUGAAUUAAUUGUUGAUUGCUUCAAAAAAAAUUUAGGGACGGGCGAUCACCCUUCCAGUCUUUAAGCCUUUCUCUUUGGGAAAAAGCUCUAAACUGUAACUUCCUAAAAUGAUGAGAGUCUGUUGAGUCACUUGCAUUUGUUUGCUGUUUAUUUGUCCUUUUUUUAAAUGCUGUGUAGUUAACACAAGCAACAUUGUGCCAUUGCUGCCUUAUUUCUCUCACCCCCUGCCUCCCAAGAGUGACUUGUCUUUCUCCCAAGGCCAUCCUGCUAUACAGAACUCGAGAGCUCACCAAACACCUGUACUUAUGGCCCCUCCCUCAGGUGAGCUGAGGCAGUGUCCCCUUAAGCAGCAAUUGGAACUUGCCUUGAAAGCCCGAAAGAGAAUGGCUGAAAAUUGCCAGUGUCACUUGCCACACUGAAGCAAGGAAAUUCGUCUCCAAGGAUAAUAGUGUUUCUCGUGGCUCAUACAUCUUCCUCCACAGCCCUCAUUUAUUUUAAUGUGUAUCUUCCACUUUGACUCUCCAGAAGAUAUUUUUAAAGGUUUGUAAAAAAUCCAAACGAAAGAUGAAAUUCAGGAUCCAGAAAAGCAUUUCUUCUGUUUCUCCUGUGCAUGAAUGUAUUCUUAAUCAACCAGUCUUUCUGAGCGGUCUCUUCAUUUGCUGCUUUGUUUCAUAACAGAACACUUGGGCUAUGGAGAUUAGGGAGACAAAGCCUCAUUAUGGCCAUCCUUGUUUUACUCCCAUGUCUUAUAUGCUUUCUCUUCCUAACUCACUCUCCAGGUGCUUCUUUCUCUUGCCAAAUAGUGCAAGAAAAUACUUUUGCAGAUCUUUUGUUUAC
rnacentral:lncRNA from 1 species